rnacentral:rRNA from 1 species
UACGUAGGGUGCGAGCGUUGUCCGGAAUUAUUGGGCGUAAAGAGCUCGUAGGCGGUGUGUCGCGUCGAUCGUGAAAACCUGCAGCUUAACUGUGGGCUUGCGGUCGAUACGGGCAUCACUGGAGUUCGGCAGGGGAGACUGGAAUUCCUGGUGUAGCGGUGAAAUGCGCAGAUAUCAGGAGGAACACCGGUGGCGAAGGCGGGUCUCUGGGCCGAUACUGACGCUGAGGUGCGAAAGCUAGGGGAGCAAACGGG